rnacentral:rRNA from 1 species
UACGAAGGGGGGCGAGCGUUGUUCGGAAUUACUGGGCGUAAAGCGCAUGUAGGCGGCCAAGCAGGUCGGAUGUGAAAUCCCUCGGCUCAACCAAGGAAGUGCAUUCGAAACCGCAUGGCUCGAGUCCCGGAGAGGAAGGUGGAAUUCUCGGUGUAGAGGUGAAAUUCGUAGAUAUCGAGAGGAACACCGGUGGCGAAAGCGGCCUUCUGGACGAGGA